rnacentral:lncRNA from 1 species
GUGACAGGCACUGAGCCUGGUUGUGGAUGGGCUGCUGAUCCCUGUCCCAGGUGACGUUCGCACGUGCUUCCCUCCGCUGGCGGCUACACGUGCGUCGGGGAUCGUAGGCGGCUGAGCCCUUCUCCCAGGUGACGUUCGCACGUGCUUCCCUCCGCUGGCGGCUACACGUGCGUCGGGGAUCGUAGGCGGCUGAGCCCUUUUCCCAGGUGACGUUCGCACGUGC